AUGUGGGGCAGGCGUCCAGGUGUGUUUGUGUCACUUGCUGCAACACUGUGGCCUAUGAAGAUUCCAACAGGAUGGUCUGACCAGAGGGGCUGGCACUCUGGAGUCGUGGCUGCAGCCAGGUACCCUGUGCAGGGCCUGGGAGGCUCUCCAGGCCACAGCCCUCAGAGAGCGCUGGGUCCCGUGUUGUGUGUGGGUUCCAUGUCCUCCACACAGCAGGAGAGGGGCCUCCCUGACCUCAACACCUGCCCCAUCAGUCUUGCUUCUCCCCAGCAAGCCUGCACUCUGGGGUCUCCAUAGGAGCUGGGGAAGCUGGGGCCUUCCCAGGGACCCUAGUCGCCACUGGGGGCUCUUGGCCUGGUUUCGUAAGAUGGAGCACUGCACAAGGCUAUGCUCAGAAAGCUGGUAAACGCAGGGCAGGGUGGGCCUCGAGCCUGGGCUGGAGGGAUCUCUACCCUUGCUGGCCUGAGAGAUGGCCCAUAUUUCUUAUUUGUGACCCCCUGCUCUUCCUGGCCACCCCCCCAGGUGGCUGAACAGGGUGCUUUUGUUGUGGCGAGGGGCCAGGAUGUGA